GCUCAAUCGGUUAAGUGGCUGACUCUUGGUUUCGGCCUAGGUCAUGAUCUCAUGGUUUUGUGGGUUCGAGUCCCACAUUGGGCU
rnacentral:tRNA from 1 species